rnacentral:rRNA from 1 species
CCUACGGGAGACAGCAGUGAGGAAUAUUGGUCAAUGGACGCUAGUCUGAACCAGCCAUGUAGCGUGCAGGAUGACUGCUCUAUGAGUUGUAAACUUCUUUUAUACGGGGGUAAACUGCAGUACGUAUACUGGUUUGAAUGUAUCUUAUGAAUAAGGAUCGGCUAACUCCGUGCCAGCAGCCGCGGUAAUACGGAGGAUCCGAGCGUUAUCCGGAUUUAUUGGGUUUAAAGGGUGCGUAGGCGGGUUGUUAAGUUAGUGGUGAAAGGUUGCGGCUCAACCCCAAAAUUGCAUUUAAUACUGGUGGACUAGAGAACAGUUGCGGUAGGCGGAAUGUGUGGUGUAGCGGUGAAAUGCUUAGAGAUCACGCAGAACACCGAUUGCGAAGGCAGCUUACCAAACUAUAUCUGACGUUGAGGCACGAAAGUGUGGGUAGCAAACAGGAUUAGAUACCCGAGUAGUC